rnacentral:tRNA from 1 species
UCCCUGGUGGCUCAGAUGGUCAAGAAUCUGCCUGGAAUGCAGGAGACCCAGGUUCAAUCCCUGGGUUGGGAA